AAAGAAAUCGUCUUACCUUCAUCACUUCCCGAUCCACCUCACGUCGUCAAACGCCGCAAAUUGACUUGGCACGAGCGCUUUCUCGUGAGAUUCCUUCCUAUAUUCCUUUGAUUACUCUCUUAUCUGAGCAAAAAGAUUAUUCACAAGAUGCUAACCAGUGAAUGAAAUGUUUUAUUUUAUUUUUGUAAAUUAGGUGUUGAAGGAAGCUUCAAGGCUUUACGGUGCAAGCUGGGUACGAGACAUAGGUCCCGAGCUUCGUCCAAACGAUUACAAGAAGCAAGGCGAUGCUGAGCCCAAGAAACAAGCCAAAGAGACUGAGAAAGAGCCCUCUGUUUUCGAAGAUCUUGGUAAGCCC
rnacentral:lncRNA from 1 species